rnacentral:lncRNA from 1 species
GAGAUUGUCUCCAAUGUUUCCCCUUCACUAACCCCAGGGAUAGACUAGCAAAGUGAAUCCCAUGGCUCAGGACAAGAUGUAGAUGGAAUUUAGCUUUCCUGAAGGAUUCAUGGCACGAACAGGAGUCAGAACAUCUUGUAUGCCCCCACAGGCGAUGGAGGCCAGUCAGCCUGGUCGGGUGGGGUGAUGUCACACUACAACUGAGGCCAGACACUGUAUGGAUGGCCUGGGGGAGACUCCAAAAUCUCAGGAAGUCAGGCAGAUUGAAAGCACCACAAGGCACUGGCCAAAGCAAGAGGAAUAAGACUUUGGGUCACACCAGCCACCAAAUUCAGCCACAAAUGCCACCAGGAGGAGCAUGACCAUGUGGACAAAAGACAUUGGCCCAGAGACCAUAGGAGCCAGAAGACUCUUUCACCCCAUUGCCAAGUCACACGAGCCACCCACCUUCAGGAGAGAAACUCUCAGAGGAUGUCAUUGCUCCUGGUUCUUGGGCCUUUGGACCCAGACAAGGACUUAUACCAUCAGCCCUCCAUUCUCAGGCCUUUAGACUCUACUGAAUUACACCACCGGCUUUCCUGAUUCUCCAGUCUGAAGACGGCAGAUUGCGUGACUCCUCAGCCUCUGUAAUUGUGUGAGCUAAUCCUCAUAAUAAAUCUCCAGCAUCUGGUGGGAAGUGUGCUUUCGCUUGAUGACACUGAAAAAUCAUGCCACGAGUGUCCAGUAACAGAAAGAAAAUAGACUUGCUGCACUCUGAGGAAGGGAAGGUUCCUCUCCACGCCCCCAGCGUGUAUGGGACCUAAGCUGCCAGGUUUUAGAAUGCUGGAGAAUUUCAAAUCAGACCACCUGCUCCUUAAAUGUCAAAACCAGCAGUAGUGUUUACAAUUCUAUACAACGGAUGUUCUCUAGCAACACCAAAAGCAAAUUUCAGGUCGUUAUGUAUCCACUACCAGGUGAGAAGGUUAAAGGACUAAGAACCAGGAAAGUAAAUAUUUGGCUUUUUGUGUACAAAUAACACAACAAUCCUCUUUUUUUCAUGCUAGUGUUUUAAAACAAAGUUGUUUUAUUAAUGCUGAUAAAAUUAAAUGAUAUGUCUCCUUUGUGUUUACCUUAAUUUCAAGACAUAUGCAAUGAAUCUAGUGUUCUGUAGUUUGUUUUUAUAUAACAUUCUUGUUAAUCUUCUCCUUUUGCUUCCGGCACAGGGAGAGGGAAGAUAGCUCUGAAAUUUGAGGAAAUAUGUGUCUUUUCCAAUACUGCC